rnacentral:lncRNA from 1 species
CUCUACUAAAAAUACAAAAAAUUAGCUGGACGUGCUGGUGCACACCUGUAGUCUCACCUACUCGGGAGGCUGAGACACAAGAAUUGCUUAAACCCAGGAAGCGGAGGUUGCAGUGAGCCGAGAUUGCGCCAUUGCCCUCCAGCCUGGGCAAAAAGAGCAAAACUCUGUCUCAAAAAAAAAAAAAAAAAAAAAAAAAACUAAAUGGUUCUAGACCAGUGAAAAUUGGAAAAGGCACACCUCCUCUGAAGGAGAACAGCCAAAUCUCAGCUCCUAAUUCCCCUCCCACCUUCCACCCAACCCCAGGGUCCCCCAUGGUAUUCCCCAGGCCAGGAGGAAGGUGAGGCAAGCAAGGCACUUGCCCAUCAUGCAAAAGGCUCUUCUGUUUCAUGACUCAGCACAACACUGCUACUAAUCCUGUCUUUAUUUAAAAUUUUAAUAUUUUGGCUGGGAGCUGUGGCUCACGCCUGUAAUCCCAGCACUUUGGGAGGCCGAGGCGGGCAGAUCACUCACAAGUUCGAGACCAGCCUGGCCAACAUGGUGAAACCCUGUCUCUGCUAAAAAUACAAAAUUAUCCAGGCAUAGUGGCGCACACCUGUAAUCCCAGCUACUCAGGAGGCUGAGGCAGGAGAAUCACUUGAACCAGGGGCUGGAGGUUGCAGUGAGCUGAGAUCGCACCAUUGAACUCCAGCCUGGGCAACAAGAGCAAAACUCUAUCUCAAAAAUAAAUAAAUAAAUAAAUAAAUAAAUGAAAUUUUAAUAUUUUGUUCAUUAUAGAUAUUUUCAUAUU